rnacentral:ribozyme from 16 species
CAUUUAAAUUUUACUAUUUUAUUUCAUUUUUUUAUAAAAAUUUGAACACAAAUAAAAAAAAAAACCUAUUAUGAAAAACUUCAU